rnacentral:rRNA from 1 species
AGUGAACGCUGGCGGUAGGCCUAACACAUGCAAGUCGAACGGCAACACGAUGAGCUCUUGCUCUUACGGGUGGCGAGUGGCGGACGGGUGACAAAUACAUCGCAAUCUACUAUUUCGGGGGGAAUAACGUAGGAAAGGUGACACUAACAGCUCAUAUAUCCUACGGGUUGAAUCAGGAGUGCUUGAGACCUUUGCCGUCUGAUUGAGCCGAAGUCGGAUUAGCUAGUUGGCGGGGUAAGGGCCCACCAAGGCGACGAUGCGUAGCUGGUCUGAGAGGAUGAUCAGCCACACUGGAACUGAGACACGGUCCAGACUCCUACGGGAGGCAGCAGUAGGGAAUCUUGCACAAUGGGCGCAAGCCUGAUCGAGCCAUGCCGCGUGAGUGAAGAAGGUCUUCGGGUUGUAAAGCUCUUUUAUUGGGAAAGAAAAGAUGCAGAUGAAUCCCUGGAUGUUCUGACGGUACCCAAUGAAUAAGCCCCGGCUAACUUCGUG